UGGGGGGGGGGUCUUUUUGCCAUUUCUAGGGCCACUCCUGCAGCAUAUGGAGGUUCCUAAGCUAGGGGUCUAAUCGGAGCUGUAGCUGCCAGCCUACGCCAGAGCCACAGCAAUGUGGGAUCCGAGCCACGUCUGCGACCUACACCACAGCUCACAGCAAUGCUGGAUCCUUAACCCACUGAGCAAGGCCAGGGAUCAAAAUGGACAGCUCAUGGAUACUAGUCGGAUUCAUUAACCACUGAGUCAUGAUGGGAACUCCCUGAACAAAUUCUAUAAAAUCUGUACUCUUUGUCACAUGUGGCUACUGAAGUGUCUGCUUGCUUUGCUUAGCAGUCAGCUAAUAGCUGGACAAUUUGGACAGAGAUUUCCUUGAAUAAGUCAAGGAAACAAUAAGUCUCUCAGACUUUGCUGAAGGGGCAUCAGGGCUCCCUUCAACUCUGCCUUGGCCUUCAAUUCUUCCUUGUACAGAGUUCAAGGUCAGCCCGAGGUUAGGGGUUAGGGCCUUCUCAGACUUUUCCUGGGUGUGUGCCCACCCUUGUGCAUACACGUGGCUUUCUAGAUUCCCAGCAGUGAGCUGACACUUCCUGCUCUGGUGCCUGUCAAGUUGCUGUUUUUCAUGGCUAUUGCGACCGGCAUGCACUGAUUUUCAGGCCACUACGCUGUUGGGAGGAGGGAUGGAGUAGGCAAGUUAAGAUACUGUAAAGCUCCCGGUUCCAAGGACUCAGCCAUUUGAUUGAACUAACUAUUUUCAAAUUGUUGGAGGCCUUAGAUGAAUUUCCAGAGUUCUAAAAAAAAGGUGGGUUUUGACACGUUCUGCAAGCAUUCUUGCUUUUGUGGAGCAGCAGGGUUUGGGAGGUCCUAACUCCACCAUCCCGGGAAAUGCUUUUCUUCAGUCUUUAAAAAUUUCUCUCUCAGUUGAAGUAAAACCUGACAACCUUCCUUGCAAUAUCUGUGAGCUGCCGGGUGGGUUUUGUUCGCAUCUGUUCCCUUCAGUGAGGGUGUGUGGGGACCACGGCUUUAUGCAGAAGCGUCGGUCCAAACACGUGCCCCUUAGGUGCCUACAGGCUUCCCCCCUCCUGGGAGCCCAUUUCGAGGCCUUUUACACCAAGACCAGCAUCUGGGAGCCAGCCCUGGGGCCGCCCCAGCGUUAGCUCACUUUGGUGACCAUCUGGGGUUGUGUUGCUCAUCUGGGGCCCCUGAAAAUUUCCACUACUCCUCUGCAAGCUCAGCUCUCCAUCUAAAAGGUGUGCAUCUUACGUGCCUGGCAUUUCUAAGCUGUAUUUUUUUUUUUUUUAAGCAGGAGUGUUCUCAGGUUAUCAUGACCGGACUCUUCCCGGGAAAAAGGGACACCCUCUAGGUAAACACUCACAUAAACACACACGUCUAGCUAACGGAACGCAACAGGGAGAAGCAAGGACCGCCCAGAAGCCGUGGUGAAGACGGACAGCAUGAGGGUCUUGCAAGCAGAGGAGCGAGUCUGACCUGGGCCCACGGGUCUCCAGGACCGCUUCGUCCACCUCUGGCCCCCACUGGAGGCUUAAUGUGGGGGAGGGAGUGUUGAGGGUGCAGCUACAGCCAGGACUAAGGGACCCUCUGUAGGCCCAGACUCUCUGUCCACCCACGCAGGGACCUAGUCUUCCUGCAGCAGCAGCCAGGAGCCUCCGGGACAUCCUAAGGCCCCAGGAACCUCCUCCUGGCAGCACUCAGAACUAGUGGCAGGUGCAUAGACCAAAGUUCUGUGGGAAGAAUGUCUGCUCACUACAGCAGGUGCCAGGAGAUGUUCAAGGAAGAGUUAGAGACUGAAUGUUUGUCCCCCGGCCCCAAAACAAAGCAGCAUAUGGUGGGAUCCGAAACCCCCUGGGAUGGCAUCGGAAUGCGAGGUCUCUGGGAGGUCAUGAGGUCAUGAGGGUGGGGCCUCGGGAAUGGGAUUAGCGCCCUUAUCUGAGGGACCCCAGGCGUCCCCACCGCGGCUCAGGGGGUUAAGAGCCCAGUAUCAUCUCUGUGAGGGUAUGGGCUUCAUCCCUGGCCUUGCUCCGCGGGUUAAGGAUCUGAUUGCCGCAGGCUGUGGCACAGGUUGAAGGUGCAGCUCGGAUCCAGUGUUGCCGUGGCUGUGGUGUAGGACUGCAGCGGUAGCUCCGAUUCAACCCCUAGCCCGGGAACUUCCUAUGCCACGGGCGCAGCCAUAAACAUUUUUAAAAAGGGGACUCCAGAGAGCUCUCCCACCUCCUCCUCCACGUGAGGGCGCAGGGAGAAGGCGGUCUGUGACCCAGGCGGUGUGUCCUCACCCGACACCGAAUCUGCGGACACCUUGACCUCGGCCUCAGACUGUGCAGAUUGCUGGCCGGGAGGCUCCCUGGACGGUACAUGAAGUCAAGGGCAACUGGAAGCAAUGCUCUGGAGAAGGAGGCUGCCCGGAUCUGGAUGGUGUGGCACGUGGGAGGACCGGAGGAUCCAUGGUCAGAGGCGACGUGGUCCACGACUCCUUAGUGGGAUUUGAUCGCAAGGAGCAGGUGCAAAGACGUGUGUACUGGGAUGCCCAACGCAGCGCUGGCCGUAACUGCAGGAAGUUACCCACUCUCUGGAGGCCAAGUGGAUCACUUCAGGUAAGCCCACACUCAGAAAACGCCGCAUUUGCCCGUCAUUCUGCGGAGAUGUUCGUGGGCUCCUGCGAGGUGACAGUGAAUCGGGAGGGUGUUCACGUGGGGUCCUGCCGCCUGGCUCCCUUCCAGCUCAGCCACAGGUCAGGGGGCCCGAUCCAGGGCAUUAGAGCCACCUGACAAAGCUGCAGACCUUGGGCUGUUUCAGAGGGGCCCCUGGGCUUUCUGGGGACAUCAAGCUUUCCCUGUGCCCCGUCUCCAGCAGCCACUCUGCCGCAAUCUUGGGGGAGGACCCUGGCUGUGGCUGCAUGCACAGGGCGGGGGCUGAAGGCGAGGGGACCUGAGCCCUGGAGUUCGGCCCACAGCUCAGUCUCCUGGCUGCCCCCACCCAGUGACCCCAAGCCUGCCACCUGCAACCGCAUCCCCUGGCGGUGGGUGUGCUGCUCCCCACCCCAUCCCCAACACAGACCUCUGUAAUCGACCAGGUCGAGGCUGAGGGGGAAAUGCCGCAAGUCAGAGAGCCAGUGUGUGGGGUGAGCAGACAACUGGGGGGUGACAUGGCUCCUGUCCCAGGGCCCCCGCUCCAUGCUGCUCCUUCCCCGCGCCAUGCUGGAAACUGCUGCCUUGUCCCUGGGGUCUCAGCUCACUGGUUACACCCUGACCACGGGAUUUAACCCGUCCUUCAGCCCAGUCUGUCCAUUUCUUCACAGCACACUCCUGCUCUGACACCCUCUGGACGGGUAGUUGUCAUCCCCCUCCCCCGCCCAGUGUCCCCAGCUCACUCAGCCCCACUGGAGACCAGGCCCUCGGGAGAGUUGGGGGAUGGUGGAGGGUGUGGGGGACCCCGGCCUCGCCCCCACUGUCUUUUCAACAACAUCCCUGAGGCCUCGGCCACCGGAGGACGCAGGCAGGGAAGGAGGUUGGUCCUGCGCUGUGGGCCAGAUGGGGAGCAGUGCUGUCCCCGCGUGCAGACCCGGUCCUGGGCACCCGGCCUCCGCCUCGCUCCCGGGCCUCUCGGUCGGCGUGGCCAGCUAACCGAGCUUGCUGAUAGCUUGGGAACGUGGUGAUAAGGGCUGAGCAUGGGGAAUGGUUACCUCCUGGCUCUUGUGAGAAUCACCAGGGUGGCUGUUUCAAGUGUCUGCCCCCAAUUUUCCAGCGGUCCCUCCCUUGGGAGUCUGGGCAGACAGGCAGGGGCGCGGCGGCGAAGGGGGCCGCUUUCCAUUUUUAGGUUGAAUUCCUUUCUGGAAAGCUGCAGGCAUGUCUCUGGCAUGAGUGCCCCGGGGCUGGGGGUGUGCAGCACUCUCCCUGGCCGGGCCCCCCGUGGCUCACGUUCCUCCUUGUCUGCCUCCUUCAGCCGGGAACGGGUGAGUGCCUGGACCCCAGGGUGCCCUGCGUUUGAGGCUCCCAUGAGGGAAACACCAGCCACGAACAUCCCACACCACGGAGCUCAGGACCGCCAGCAAGUGCCUGAGGUGGGCACAUGCAGGUGGGAUGGCUGGGUUCACAAACGCAAAAUCAGGAUGCCCAGUGAGAUCUGAAUUUCAGAGAAACGGGGAGUGCUUCGUGCCAGCGAGCCCCCCGGCGUGCGCAGUCCCGCCUCGCCAGCGGAGGCUGAUGUCAGAGAAGCUGCCCCUGGGCACGCUGGGUAAGUGGCCACACGGGUGAACGCUGGGGGGCAAGCUCAGGGGAUGCCCCCAAAGGCGUGGCUCUAGAUGCACUGUCCAGAGACUGCCACGGGCGCCAGCCUGAACCCGCAAGUCCAGCCACGCAGCCACCAGCCGCAUGUGGCUACUGCCCACUGGCCUGGGGCACUGAGCCUUUCAUUCUACUGUGUGUCAGGGGACAUGGUCACAGGAGGCUGUGGCCAAGUCACUGGGCAGCACAGGUGUAGGGGUGGUCCCGGAGGCCCCUCUGAGCUUUUGUGCAGACAUCUGGAAAUCUGGAGGAAAUUAUCUCCCAACUGGGGAGAUGAAGCCCCCCCCAACCCUGAGGAACUGGGGGAAGGCCAGUGAGGGGACCAGGGGGCAGGGGAGGGAGACAGGAGGGGACAGCAGGCAGGUCCAGCCCCCCUCAGGCCACUGGACACAGUCUGGACGUGCAUUCUAUUCCUAGUAAUGGGUCAAGCGGUAACUCCACAAGCUGUUCUGGGCAUUUUCACCGUCCUUCCGGCUGUGGCUUCGCCCUGCCUGUCUGGUGCAGCGGGUUUGAUUGAUUGCUUGCUGUGCCCACCGACCCAGCUGCCGUGUCCUGAUCCCCGAGAUGGUCGUCAGCCUGAAAGUCCCAGAGAAGGGGACUUGGGGAGGAGGUUUCUUGGCACCAGGCCAGGAAACCCCAGGGGUGGGAGGCGCCAGGCUCUCUGCUCAGACCCCCCCCCCCCCCCCCCCCCCCCCCCCCCCCGCCCCCCGCCAGACUGCAGACCCUCCAUUCUGCUCUGCGCUGGGCAGCUCCUCCCAGGUACCCUGGAAGGUCUCCCUCUUGACAGGGUGACAGCGGUUAAAUCUCGUCCCCAGCCUGACACCCUGUAUCUGUUGCCAGUUACAGGAUCUGACACUGCUGGGGGACAGUGAGUCGAUGCAAUGAGUCUGAGAGACAGCCUCCCUCCUAGCCCAGGAUGCUGCAAGGCCUCUGCCACCCGAGCCGGGGGUGGACUCUGAAACGAGACGUGGCCUCUUUGAAAAGGAAGUUCUUUAAAUUCUCUUAAAAAGAAAAAAAAAAAAAAA
rnacentral:lncRNA from 1 species